UCCGACAACAGUACCAUUGAACCCAUUUUUCUUCCUCUAUGUAAACCCCACCAUCUCUACUGCAAACCACCACCAUCUCCCUCUCUCAACUGUACCACUCUCUAAACCAGAAACAUCACAAUCCAACUGCCCUUUUCUCUUUCUCUUGUCCCUAUUUUUAACAUAAGCAUGGUCCCUGAAUUGAUCGACAGUAGGGCGGCUAUGAAGAACAGAAGAAGCAGGGUUUGUCGAAUUAAAGGAUUGACUCUGAAAUAUCAUCUGCAACUCGUACAAUUGAAGACAAUAAGGGUGGCGGGUUCAGUGACUUUGAGUUCAACGUCUCCGGGAUAUGUGCAUAGACUUUGAGUUCAACGUCUCUUGGGUCUAUGAAGGUUUUUCUGAGAUCCAAAAGUUGCACGCUGAAGCGAUCGAAGGUCCCUCUGCGGAUGUGAUCAACCAACAUGAAGCAGAAGUCGAAAGGUUGUCUCAGGAGUUGAAGCUGAAACGGGCGGCUCUUCAAAGCGCGAAGGAUGCUUUCUCCAAGAAGAAAUAACCGUUGUUGCUUUUGUCUUCUUAACUUCCUUUUCUUAGGUUUUUUUUCUUUUUUGAAAGGAAAACAAAACGCCUAGUUUAUGGUUUGAUUUUCUGGUUUUUUGGAUUGAUAGAUGAUUGCUUCUUAUGAGGGUUUUGCAUUAUUUUUGGAAUGAACUAUUUUUUAAAGAACGCCACUUUGAUUA